rnacentral:rRNA from 1 species
AUGGUCUCAUCACAGGAACUACCAUCAUCAUCAAACCCUGAUAGUCUAGUGGUUGAACUUAUUAUUUUUCUUCUUUUUCUGCAAGCAGAAAGUGGUAAUGUUGUUAAGAAGUACCGAGACACUGACAAGUUGAUAGUUCCCAGAUGGGUGACGACCAAGAUCAAUGAUGGAAAUAUUGAUUCCAAUGUGCUAAAUUGGUUCACGAGAUCAGGUGCUGAUGGUUUUGACCAAGUUUGGGAGCUUCUUUUCCCUACCUUUGAUCCACCGUCAUUUGUGGCUACCAUGAAGCCUAGCAAAGAAUCUGGGCAUUGGUGCUUGAUUGUUCUGAAUUUUGAGGUUCCAUCGUUUUGA